AAGCAUAAUAAGAGGCGUGUUCCACCACUGUGGACGGGGUCCCUGGGCUUUCCCCUAGGGUCCCAUCAGCUGCUUAUGUUCUACCUUCUGACGGAUCACAGGAGGAGCCUGCAGCGGAGGAGCCUCCUCCUCCUCAGCAUCAGACCUAAAGGGAGUGUCCUGCCUGAAGGACCGGCUCAAGGUCGCACUAACAGCUCUUGCUAACUCCUGUUCCAGGCUGUUUAUCUGGGCCUCCAAGUACCCUGCUUGCGCCUGGAGGUCUCUCACCCCCAGGUCCUGCUCAAAGCUGUGCACUUGGGCCCCCAGGCAUGCGGCUUGCUCCGGAAGGUCCCUUACCUGUGGCACUGAGCAUGUACUUCCUGCAGUGCAGUUAGAAAUGCCCAUCCGACUCUGCUUGCAAAGGCACAGCUGCUUAAAGACUGUUACCGGAAAGGAAUCCUGAUCCAGACGCCAAGAGAGGGUUCUUGGACUCAUGCAAGAAAGACUUCAGUUCUCAGGUCCCUGGACCAUGAAGGGCCACAUCCAAGGAGCUACCCCAGGAGGCCUCUCAUUUGCAUUUGUCCCCGCUAAUGCAGGACAGAGAUCAUGGAAGUUGGGCCCGACUGGAUGAGAUUUGGGGGUCUUUGGAAGUGGAGAAUGUGUUUGCCCUGGGGAAGAGAGGUGAUGUCUAGGAGACCUCUUCACUCAGGGCAAGCUCUAUGACCUGCUUUGACUCCAGAAUGUGGUAGAAGUGGCAUCACAUAAAUUGCAGAGCCUAGGCUUCAAGAGACCUUGCAACUUGCCUCUCACUGACUUGAAGUGCUCCCAUCAGAGCAUCUUGUAAGGAGCAGGUGGAGCAUGUGGACAAGCCAUCCCCACCAGCCCCUGAGACAUGUGAGAGAGGCCAGAACAGGCCAUCCGGACCCCACUGUGCUGGUGGAUGAGACAGCAGAAGGAAUAUCAACCUACCAACAGAAUCCUGAGAAAUGCUCACUCUUACUUCAAGCUGCUGCAUUUUGAUGUUAUGAAACCAUAAAUAACUUAUGAAGUCAUCUUUGCUGACUUAAAGUUUUCCAUAACUUUAUUAUAACAUAUCAAAAUUAUGAAAAAUGUGAAAAGUAGAAAACUGAUGAAUUUUGCUUCUUCAUAUGGUCUUUAAGAAUCUCAAAGGCACUGAAGUUUUUUAUCUUUUCUGUCUUAGAAUAAAAAACCUUGAAUGAAAAUCUGCUUCUUGGAAAAGCAGCAAGGUUUAUGCAGAGGCAAUCUGGUAUUUGUGUGCACUGGCAGCUGAUCAUACCCAGCAUGCACGCACUCUCAGGGCAGAGUCUGAUGCCCCACAUAAUGGGGCAUGGUAAGGACUCCCAUGUCCUUGAGAUAAAAUGAUAAGGAAAAUACACACUGCUAUUAGAAUAACAGGCCCAGCUUCUGCACAUUUUAAUUCCCAAAGUUUUCAUGAAAGACAAUGAUUUUUUGGUACCAUGUUUAACUCUACAAGAAUCAGUAGUGAAAACUAAAAAUGAUACUUUGUGAAAGUUCAUUAAUUUUGUUUUCAGCCAGUGGUGGCCUUGGUCAGAUAGAAUCAAAUCUAUGAUACUUUUUAUCAGAAAUGCUUAUACUGUGUACAAACCCAAAGUGAUGGCUUUCAAAGAUUGAAUUUGAUUAUUUUCUGUAUGGUGCAGAUGAAAAAUUACUACACAGGAGAAGGUGGGUUGGAGGUGCUCACGAGUAACCAGGAAACAGUCUGAAGUUUUUCUGAUACUUCUCCUUGGUCCAACCAAAUGUGAGAUAUAAACACAAACUUGGGAUUCCGUUCUUAUGUUUUGGUUGUUUCAGUCUUUACAGAUGUAUCGAAAGGCUGUCCAAAAAUGUCUGACUUCUGUAGUGUGCCUUCGUAGCACUAGAGGGUUCUGCAGCUGUGAAACUGAAGGCAUUGGCAAGAAGCCCUCCAUCUUCAAACCACUUUCUGCUAAGGUGUGGCUCUAUAAAACCACUAUGAGCUGGGCUUCACUGAGACUGAGUUGUUUCAGUAGGAUCUUCCGGAAAAACAUGUUCCCUCCUUUACCUGGGUUGUCAUUCUGAGAACAAUCACACCUCCAAUUUUGGCUUACUAAGCAAUAGCGUUUUAAUGAUUUUAAGCCAGGAUUUGCUCCUCCUUUCCUCAGUAUGAGAGCUUAACCACUGGAGGAACCAAGAAUUCAUGCUGGUUGGGUUCUGAUUCCACUUUAACUUACUGUAUAGCCUCAUCCCUUGUUUUUCUGGAGAUUCUCUUUUUCUGCUUCACUGAUUUAUAUUUACAUUAAAAUCAAAUGAGGCCAUGUUUCUGAAAUCACAUUGUCCCUACAUGGUCAUUACAAUGAGUCUGUAAUGUGACUGAAAGACAGCCAUGGAUACAGGUAGAGGAUAUCAGGCAAUUGAAUGCUCAUCAAGCAUUCAAUUCAGGGCAAAUGGCAUAAGGUAUGCAGUUGGCCUCUUCUGAUAUCUGUGUCUUAAUCCUUUCUUUAGCCUCUGUUUUCUGGACCAAGGCUAAGAUAUUUUCUGGGCACAGUGGCUCAUGCCUAUAAUCCCAGCACUCUGGGAGGCCAAGGUGGGAGGAUUUCUUCAGCCCAGGAGUUCGAGACCAGCCUGGGGAACAUAGGAGACCUCAUUCCUACAAAUAAUAAAAAAAAUUAGCCAGCUCUGGUGGCGUGUGCUUAUUGGUCUCAGCUACUUGGGAGGCUGAGGUGGGAGGACUGCUUGAGCCCAGAAGAUCGCAGCUGCAUUGAGCCAUGAUUGUGCCACUGAACCCUAGCCUGAGCAACAGAGCAAGGCCUUAUCUCAAAAAAAAAAAAAAAUUCUGAGCCUUCUAAUUUUUUUUUUCUUUAAUUAACUUUCUGUAAGCCCAGCAAGUAAAUAAAACACUUAUUUUAUGAAGCAUCUAGUUGCUUUUAGGGGAAGGGACAUCCUCCGCAUAGUAUCUAGGCCAGCUCACUUUCUUCUCCUUACUGUUGAUUUACUCUCUGCCAUUGAAUCUUCUGUGCCAAUGUUGGAUUAAUGUUUCCGGGCCCUACUUUCAUCAUGCUCCUCUGUAUUAUCACCUGUUUUGGUUUACAGCAAUGAUUUUUAAGGUAAGGCAUGGUGUGUCCAUCAUAGUCACAUGGGAACUUUUUCAAGCCAUAUUAAAAAUGUCCCCCAUUCAUCAUUCUGCCCCUGGAACAGUGUGUGCAGUUGGGACCUUCAAGUAAAUCUACUUUGUUGAAACCCACUGAUCAGCAUGGUGUAUUUCAUAACUCUUUGACUUACAUUCAAGAAAUUCCUUAACCUGAA
ensembl:lncRNA novel transcript